AAAUUGAAGAGUUUGAUCAUGGCUCAGAUUGAACGCUGGCGGCAGGCCUAACACAUGCAAGUCGAGCGGUAGCACAGAGAGCUUGCUCUCGGGUGACGAGCGGCGGACGGGUGAGUAAUGUCUGGGAAACUGCCUGAUGGAGGGGGAUAACUACUGGAAACGGUAGCUAAUACCGCAUAACGUCGCAAGACCAAAGUGGGGGACCUUCGGGCCUCAUGCCAUCAGAUGUGCCCAGAUGGGAUUAGCUAGUAGGUGGGGUAAUGGCUCACCUAGGCGACGAUCCCUAGCUGGUCUGAGAGGAUGACCAGCCACACUGGAACUGAGACACGGUCCAGACUCCUACGGGAGGCAGCAGUGGGGAAUAUUGCACAAUGGGCGCAAGCCUGAUGCAGCCAUGCCGCGUGUAUGAAGAAGGCCUUCGGGUUGUAAAGUACUUUCAGCGAGGAGGAAGGCGUUAAGGUUAAUAACCUUAGCGAUUGACGUUACUCGCAGAAGAAGCACCGGCUAACUCCGUGCCAGCAGCCGCGGUAAUACGGAGGGUGCAAGCGUUAAUCGGAAUUACUGGGCGUAAAGCGCACGCAGGCGGUCUGUCAAGUCGGAUGUGAAAUCCCCGGGCUCAACCUGGGAACUGCAUUCGAAACUGGCAGGCUAGAGUCUUGUAGAGGGGGGUAGAAUUCCAGGUGUAGCGGUGAAAUGCGUAGAGAUCUGGAGGAAUACCGGUGGCGAAGGCGGCCCCCUGGACAAAGACUGACGCUCAGGUGCGAAAGCGUGGGGAGCAAACAGGAUUAGAUACCCUGGUAGUCCACGCCGUAAACGAUGUCGACUUGGAGGUUGUGCCCUUGAGGCGUGGCUUCCGGAGCUAACGCGUUAAGUCGACCGCCUGGGGAGUACGGCCGCAAGGUUAAAACUCAAAUGAAUUGACGGGGGCCCGCACAAGCGGUGGAGCAUGUGGUUUAAUUCGAUGCAACGCGAAGAACCUUACCUACUCUUGACAUCCAGAGAACUUAGCAGAGAUGCUUUGGUGCCUUCGGGAACUCUGAGACAGGUGCUGCAUGGCUGUCGUCAGCUCGUGUUGUGAAAUGUUGGGUUAAGUCCCGCAACGAGCGCAACCCUUAUCCUUUGUUGCCAGCGGUCCGGCCGGGAACUCAAAGGAGACUGCCAGUGAUAAACUGGAGGAAGGUGGGGAUGACGUCAAGUCAUCAUGGCCCUUACGAGUAGGGCUACACACGUGCUACAAUGGCAUAUACAAAGAGAAGCGACCUCGCGAGAGCAAGCGGACCUCAUAAAGUAUGUCGUAGUCCGGAUUGGAGUCUGCAACUCGACUCCAUGAAGUCGGAAUCGCUAGUAAUCGUAGAUCAGAAUGCUACGGUGAAUACGUUCCCGGGCCUUGUACACACCGCCCGUCACACCAUGGGAGUGGGUUGCAAAAGAAGUAGGUAGCUUAACCUUCGGGAGGGCGCUUACCACUUUGUGAUUCAUGACUGGGGUGAAGUCGUAACAAGGUAACCGUAGGGGAACCUGCGGUUGGAUCACCUCCUUA
rnacentral:rRNA from 1 species